UUAAGAACUUUGAAGGUUUAUUUUCAACUGAACUCCAACCUAGCGAAGAGUCAGGGAUUGAAGCCGUGGCCUCUCGUGCACUUGAUGCUUCCUUUAGUUGGAAGGGAGUGAAGGUUCAGUGUUGAUGUCAUCAUCUCUUGCAUUAACUUUGCAGUAGCAGUAGCGCUUAAAAUUCUCUAGAAGAGUAUGAUGGUAGUGUGUCUGCAUUGCUUUAUCUUUCUAAUGUCUAGAGUUUUGUUGGUGUUUACAGUGUUUUUAAAAACCCCAAAAAUAAGAGACUUGCAUUGGAGGUGCUAAUUGUAGGGGUUUCUUAGUUAUGUCUCUUAAUCUCAUUUUAACUACUUAAAAGUAUUAAAAAAAUAUUAAGAGACCCAAGAAGGGACUUUAGGAUAAUCAUGUUUUAAGAGACGUCUCUUAACUUUUUUUAAUUAAAAACUAAGAAACCUUAUUUUAUAUUACGCUAAGAGACUUAACCUAAUAGACCUGCAAUAAACAUGCUCUUAGAUCUUCUCCGAUAUAUCCGUUUAGAGUAAGAUCAUUUACUUACUUUGUUUUUGAAAAUUGCUCUAAGGAUAUCUAUAUUAUUUUAUUAGAUAUAUGUCUUAAAUGAUAAAAAAAAAACUCCAUCUAGAAAUAUUUUAAAUGUAGAGUGCUCAGUAUUUAAAAUCUCCAUUUUAUUAAAACUAGUGGUUUUCCGGCGCUACGCGCCGGGUUUGUAUAUAUUACUUUUAAUGAAUUUACAAUGUAGACAAAUCAUCGUGUGAAUUUUUAGAAUAUUUGUCUCUCAAAACCGUUGUUUAUAUUCUGAAAUUACGGUUUGUGGUGUGCGUGAACGAAAUGAAGUUCAAAAAUGACGACGACUGGUAUGUA